UAACUGGAGGACCGAACCGACUAAUGUUGAAAAAUUAGCGGAUGACCUGUGGCUGGGGGUGAAAGGCCAAUCAAACCGGGAGAUAGCUGGUUCUCCCCGAAAGCUAUUUAGGUAGCGCCUCGUGAAUUCAUCUCCGGGGGUAGAGCACUGUUUCGGCUAGGGGGCCAUCCCGGCUUACCAACCCGAUGCAAACUGCGAAUACCGGAGAAUGUUAUCACGGGAGACACACGGCGGGUGCUAACGUCCGUCGUGAAGAGGGAAACAACCCAGACCGCCAGCUAAGGUCCCAAAGUCAUGGUUAAGUGGGAAACGAUGUGGGAAGGCCCAGACAGCCAGGAUGUUGGCUUAGAAGCAGCCAUCAUUUAAAGAAAGCGUAAUAGCUCACUGGUCGAGUCGGCCUGCGCGGAAGAUGUAACGGGGCUAAACCAUGCACCGAAGCUGCGGCAGCGACACUGUGUGUUGUUGGGUAGGGGAGCGUUCUGUAAGCCUGUGAAGGUGUGUCGUGAGGCAUGCUGGAGGUAUCAGAAGUGCGAAUGCUGACAUAAGUAACGAUAAAGCGGGUGAAAAGCCCGCUCGCCGGAAGACCAAGGGUUCCUGUCCAACGUUAAUCGGGGCAGGGUGAGUCGACCCCUAAGGCGAGGCCGAAAGGCGUAGUCGAUGGGAAACGGGUUAAUAUUCCCGUACUUGGUGUUACUGCGAAGGGGGGACGGAGAAGGCUAUGUUGGCCGGGCGACGGUUGUCCCGGUUUAAGCGUGUAGGUGUGUGUUCCAGGUAAAUCCGGUUCACUUUAACACUGAGGCGUGACGACGAGGCACUACGGUGCUGAAGCAACAAAUGCCCUGCUUCCAGGAAAAGCCUCUAAGCAUCAGGUAACAUCAAAUCGUACCCCAAACCGACACAGGUGGUCAGGUAGAGAAUACCAAGGCGCUUGAGAGAACUCGGGUGAAGGAACUAGGCAAAAUGGUGCCGUAACUUCGGGAGAAGGCACGCUGACACGUAGGUGAAGUGAUUUACUCAUGGAGCUGAAGUCAGUCGAAGAUACCAGCUGGCUGCAACUGUUUAUUAAAAACACAGCACUGUGCAAACACGAAAGUGGACGUAUACGGUGUGACGCCUGCCCGGUGCCGGAAGGUUAAUUGAUGGGGUCAGCGCAAGCGAAGCUCCUGAUCGAAGCCCCGGUAAACGGCGGCCGUAACUAUAACGGUCCUAAGGUAGCGAAAUUCCUUGUCGGGUAAGUUCCGACCUGCACGAAUGGCGUAAUGAUGGCCAGGCUGUCUCCACCCGAGACUCAGUGAAAUUGAACUCGCUGUGAAGAUGCAGUGUACCCGCGGCAAGACGGAAAGACCCCGUGAACCUUUACUAUAGCUUGACACUGAACAUUGAGCCUUGAUGUGUAGGAUAGGUGGGAGGCUUUGAAGUGUGGACGCCAGUCUGCAUGGAGCCGACCUUGAAAUACCACCCUUUAAUGUUUGAUGUUCUAACGUGGACCCGUUACCCGGGUUGCGGACAGUGUCUGGUGGGUAGUUUGACUGGGGCGGUCUCCUCCUAAAGAGUAACGGAGGAGCACGAAGGUUGGCUAAUCCUGGUCGGACAUCAGGAGGUUAGUGCAAUGGCAUAAGCCAGCUUGACUGCGAGCGUGACGGCGCGAGCAGGUGCGAAAGCAGGUCAUAGUGAUCCGGUGGUUCUGAAUGGAAGGGCCAUCGCUCAACGGAUAAAAGGUACUCCGGGGAUAACAGGCUGAUACCGCCCAAGAGUUCAUAUCGACGGCGGUGUUUGGCACCUCGAUGUCGGCUCAUCACAUCCUGGGGCUGAAGUAGGUCCCAAGGGUAUGGCUGUUCGCCAUUUAAAGUGGUACGCGAGCUGGGUUUAGAACGUCGUGAGACAGUUCGGUCCCUAUCUGCCGUGGGCGCUGGAGAACUGAGGGGGGCUGCUCCUAGUACGAGAGGACCGGAGUGGACGCAUCACUGGUGUUCGGGUUGUCAUGCCAAUGGCACUGCC
rnacentral:rRNA from 1 species